rnacentral:lncRNA from 1 species
AAAGCUUCGUUUUGCAACUUUAGAAAACUUGUUCCUCAAAACAGAUGAUGGAUUUUCAAUGGCUGCCAUUUUUUUGCUGUCACUGUUUGUUAGUUGAAAGCAACAAAGGAGAGAAAGAGAAGAAAUAGAUAUUUAGAUAAAAACCAAAGAAAGAGAAUAAAUAGGGAUUUCAAACAUUAUUGGGCCCUAAUAACACACAAGAAAUCGGAUUUCAAAAACUGUUAUUGAAAGCGCAUGAUACACGAUUUGAUCUCACCAUAUACAACCAAAAACAAAUUUUCUUUUUCAUUUGGCAGAGAACAGCACCCACUCUAGAGUUGUCAAAUUCGCACCACUCACCGAAACUAUCGGAAACUCCCGCAGAAGGAAUUUUCACAAUUCCAAUUGAAUUAAUAGGACAAUAACAACAACUAUGCCUUUCAAACAAAAAAUAAUAAUAAUAAAUAAAGAAACCGUACAUACCAAAACAUAUAUAUUUCAAUAUUAUAUUUAUAUAUCAUUAAUCUAUGAAACAAAAGUAAAAAUUGAACUAAAAAAACUAUGAAUGAGUAUUUUCAUAUAUUUUUGAAUUGGUAUUUUUUCUACAUCACUUUAAACGUGAAAGACCUAAAUACACAGCGAUAAUGGUUCCGUUCAAAACUAAUAUAACAAAACUUAGUUUUACAGCUUUAGCAAACAUGGUCCUCAAAACAGAGUUUGGAUUUUCAAUGGCUGCCAUUUUUUUGCUAUCACUGUUCGGUAGUUGAAAGCAACAAAGGAGUGAAAGAGAAGAAAUAGAUAUUUGGAUAAAACCAAAGAAAGAGAAUAAAUAGGGAUUUCAAUCAUUACUGGGCCCUAAUAACAAACAAGAAAUUGGAUUUCAAAAACUGUUAUUGAAAGCGCAUAAUACACGAUUUGAUCUCCGAAUAUACAACCAAAAACAAAUUUUCUUUUUCAUUUGGCAGACAACAACAUCCAGUCAAUAGGUGUCCAAUUCGCAUCACUCACCGAAACUAUCAGACAUUCUCGCAGAAGGAAUUUUCACAAUUCCAAAUGAAUUAAUAGGACAAAAACAACAAUUUCAAGAAAUAAUAAUAAAUAAAGAAACCGUACAUACCAAAACAUAUAUAUUUCAAUAUUAAAUUUAUCUAUCAUUAAUCUAUGAAACUAAAGUAAAAAUUGAAUAUAAAAAAUUAUGAAUGAGUAUUUUCAUACAUUUUUGAAUUGGUAUUUUUUUCUACAUCACUUUGAACGUGAAAGACCUAAAUACACAACGAUAAUGGUUCCAUUGAAAACCAAUGGAACAAAGCUUCGUUUUGCAACUUUAGAAAACUUGUUCCUCAAAACAGAUGAUGGAUUUUCAAUGGCUGCCAUUUUUUUGCUGUCACUGUUUGUUAGUUGAAAGCAACAAAGGAGAGAAAGAGAAGAAAUAGAUAUUUAGAUAAAAACCAAAGAAAGAGAAUAAAUAGGGAUUUCAAACAUUAUUGGGCCCUAAUAACACACAAGAAAUCGGAUUUCAAAAACUGUUAUUGAAAGCGCAUGAUACACGAUUUGAUCUCACCAUAUACAACCAAAAACAAAUUUUCUUUUUCAUUUGGCAGAGAACAGCACCCACUCUAGAGUUGUCAAAUUCGCACCACUCACCGAAACUAUCGGAAACUCCCGCAGAAGGAAUUUUCACAAUUCCAAUUGAAUUAAUAGGACAAUAACAACAACUAUGCCUUUCAAACAAAAAAUAAUAAUAAUAAAUAAAGAAACCGUACAUACCAAAACAUAUAUAUUUCAAUAUUAUAUUUAUAUAUCAUUAAUCUAUGAAACAAAAGUAAAAAUUGAACUAAAAAAACUAUGAAUGAGUAUUUUCAUAUAUUUUUGAAUUGGUAUUUUUUCUACAUCACUUUAAACGUGAAAGACCUAAAUACACAGCGAUAAUGGUUCCGUUCAAAACUAAUAUAACAAAACUUAGUUUUACAGCUUUAGCAAACUUGGUCCUCAAAACAGAGCUUGGAUUUUCAAUGGCUGCCAUUUUUUUGCUAUCACUGUUCGGUCGUUGAAAGCAACAAAGGAGUGAAAGAGAAGAAAUAAAUAUUUGGAUAAAACCAAAGAAAGAGAAUAAAUAGGGAUUUCAAUCAUUAUUGGGCCCUAAUAACAAACAAGAAAUUGGAUUUCAAAAACUGUUAUUGAAAGCGCAUAAUACACGAUUUAAUCUCCGAAUAUACAACCAAAAACAAAUUUUCUUUUUCAUUUGGCAGACAACAACAUCCAGUAAAUAGGUGUCCAAUUCGCAUCACUCACCGAAACUAUCAUACAUUCUCGCAGAAGGAAUUUUCACAAUUCCAAAUGAAUUAAUAGGACAAAAACAAAAAGUUCAAGAAAUAAUAAUAAAUAAAGAAACCGUACAUACCAAAACAUAUAUAUUUCAAUAUUAAAUUUAUCUAUCAUUAAUCUAUGAAACUAAAGUAAAAAUUGAAUAUAAAAAACUAUGAAUGAGUAUUUUCAUACAUUUUUGAAUUGGUAUUUUUUUCUACAUCACUUUGAACGUGAAAGACCUAAAUACACAACGAUAAUGGUUCCAUUGAAAACCAAUGGAACAAAGCUUCGUUUUGCAACUUUAGAAAACUUGUUCCUCAAAACAGAUGAUGGAUUUUCAAUGGCUGCCAUUUUUUUGCUGUCACUGUUUGUUAGUUGAAAGCAACAAAGGAGAGAAAGAGAAGAAAUAGAUAUUUAGAUAAAAACCAAAGAAAGAGAAUAAAUAGGGAUUUCAAACAUUAUUGGGCCCUAAUAACACACAAGAAAUCGGAUUUCAAAAACUGUUAUUGAAAGCGCAUGAUACACGAUUUGAUCUCACCAUAUACAACCAAAAACAAAUUUUCUUUUUCAUUUGGCAGAGAACAGCACCCACUCUAGAGUUGUCAAAUUCGCACCACUCACCGAAACUAUCGGAAACUCCCGCAGAAGGAAUUUUCACAAUUCCAAUUGAAUUAAUAGGACAAUAACAACAACUAUGCCUUUCAAACAAAAAAUAAUAAUAAUAAAUAAAGAAACCGUACAUACCAAAACAUAUAUAUUUCAAUAUUAUAUUUAUAUAUCAUUAAUCUAUGAAACAAAAGUAAAAAUUGAACUAAAAAAACUAUGAAUGAGUAUUUUCAUAUAUUUUUGAAUUGGUAUUUUUUCUACAUCACUUUAAACGUGAAAGACCUAAAUACACAGCGAUAAUGGUUCCGUUCAAAACUAAUAUAACAAAACUUAGUUUUACAGCUUUAGCAAACUUGGUCCUCAAAACAGAGUUUGGAUUUUCAAUGGCUGCCAUUUUUUUGCUAUCACUGUUCGGUAGUUGAAAGCAACAAAGGAGUGAAAGAGAAGAAAUAGAUAUUUGGAUAAAACCAAAGAAAGAGAAUAAAUAGGGAUUUCAAUCAUUACUGGGCCCUAAUAACAAACAAGAAAUUGGAUUUCAAAAACUGUUAUUGAAAGCGCAUAAUACACGAUUUGAUCUCCGAAUAUACAACCAAAAACAAAUUUUCUUUUUCAUUUGGCAGACAACAACAUCCAGUCAAUAGGUGUCCAAUUCGCAUCACUCACCGAAACUAUCAGACAUUCUCGCAGAAGGAAUUUUCACAAUUCCAAAUGAAUUAAUAGGACAAAAACAACAAUUUCAAGAAAUAAUAAUAAAUAAAGAAACCGUACAUACCAAAACAUAUAUAUUUCAAUAUUAAAUUUAUCUAUCAUUAAUCUAUGAAACUAAAGUAAAAAUUGAAUAUAAAAAAUUAUGAAUGAGUAUUUUCAUACAUUUUUGAAUUGGUAUUUUUUUCUACAUCACUUUGAACGUGAAAGACCUAAAUACACAACGAUAAUGGUUCCAUUGAAAACCAAUGGAACAAAGCUUCGUUUUGCAACUUUAGAAAACUUGUUCCUCAAAACAGAUGAUGGAUUUUCAAUGGCUGCCAUUUUUUUGCUGUCACUGUUUGUUAGUUGAAAGCAACAAAGGAGAGAAAGAGAAGAAAUAGAUAUUUAGAUAAAAACCAAAGAAAGAGAAUAAAUAGGGAUUUCAAACAUUAUUGGGCCCUAAUAACACACAAGAAAUCGGAUUUCAAAAACUGUUAUUGAAAGCGCAUGAUACACGAUUUGAUCUCACCAUAUACAACCAAAAACAAAUUUUCUUUUUCAUUUGGCAGAGAACAGCACCCACUCUAGAGUUGUCAAAUUCGCACCACUCACCGAAACUAUCGGAAACUCCCGCAGAAGGAAUUUUCACAAUUCCAAUUGAAUUAAUAGGACAAUAACAACAACUAUGCCUUUCAAACAAAAAAUAAUAAUAAUAAAUAAAGAAACCGUACAUACCAAAACAUAUAUAUUUCAAUAUUAUAUUUAUAUAUCAUUAAUCUAUGAAACAAAAGUAAAAAUUGAACUAAAAAAACUAUGAAUGAGUAUUUUCAUAUAUUUUUGAAUUGGUAUUUUUUCUACAUCACUUUAAACGUGAAAGACCUAAAUACACAGCGAUAAUGGUUCCGUUCAAAACUAAUAUAACAAAACUUAGUUUUACAGCUUUAGCAAACUUGGUCCUCAAAACAGAGUUUGGAUUUUCAAUGGCUGCCAUUUUUUUGCUAUCACUGUUCGGUAGUUGAAAGCAACAAAGGAGUGAAAGAGAAGAAAUAGAUAUUUGGAUAAAACCAAAGAAAGAGAAUAAAUAGGGAUUUCAAUCAUUACUGGGCCCUAAUAACAAACAAGAAAUUGGAUUUCAAAAACUGUUAUUGAAAGCGCAUAAUACACGAUUUGAUCUCCGAAUAUACAACCAAAAACAAAUUUUCUUUUUCAUUUGGCAGACAACAACAUCCAGUCAAUAGGUGUCCAAUUCGCAUCACUCACCGAAACUAUCAGACAUUCUCGCAGAAGGAAUUUUCACAAUUCCAAAUGAAUUAAUUGGACAAAAACAACAAUUUCAAGAAAUAAUAAUAAAUAAAGAAAUCGUACAUACCAAAACAUAUAUAUUUCAAUAUUAAAUUUAUCUAUCAUUAAUCUAUGAAACUAAAGUAAAAAUUGAAUAUAAAAAAUUAUGAAUGAGUACUUUCAUAAAUUUUUGAAUUGGUAUUUUUUUCUACAUCACUUUGAACGUGAAAGACCUAAAUACACAACGAUAAUGGUUCCAUUGAAAACCAAUGGAACAAAGCUUCGUUUUGCAAGUUUAGAAAACUUGUUCCUCAAAACAGAUGAUGGAUUUUCAAUGGCUGCCAUUUUUUUACUGUCACUGUUUGUUAGUUGAAAGCAACAAAGGAGAGAAAGAGAAGAAAUAGAUAUUUAGAUAAAAACCAAAGAAAGAGAAUAAAUAGGGAUUUCAAACAUUAUGGGGCCCUAAUAACACACAAGAAAUCGGAUUUCAAAAACUGUUAUUGAAAGCGCAUGAUACACGAUUUGAUCUCACCAUAUACAACCAAAAACAAAUUUUCUUUUUCAUUUGGCAGAGAACCACACCCACUCUAGAGUUGUCAAAUUCGCACCACUCACCGAAACUAUCGGAAACUCUCGCAGAAGGAAUUUUCACAAUUCCAAUUGAAUUAAUAGGACAAUAACAACAACUAUGCCUUUCAAACAAAAAAUAAUAAUAAUAAAUAAAGAAACCGUACAUACCAAAACAUAUAUAUUUCAAUAUUAUAUUUAUAUAUCAUUAAUCUAUGAAACAAAAGUAAAAAUUGAACUAAAAAAACUAUGAAUGAGUAUUUUCAUAUAUUUUUGAAUUGCUAUUUUUUCUACAUCACUUUAAACGUGAAAGACCUAAAUACACAGCGAUAAUGGUUCCGUUCAAAACUAAUAUAACAAAACUUAGUUUUACAGCUUUAGCAAACAUGGUCCUCAAAACAGAGUUUGGAUUUUCAAUGGCUGCCAUUUUUUUGCUAUCACUGUUCGGUAGUUGAAAGCAACAAAGGAGUGAAAGAGAAGAAAUAGAUAUUUGGAUAAAACCAAAGAAAGAGAAUAAAUAGGGAUUUCAAUCAUUACUGGGCCCUAAUAACAAACAAGAAAUUGGAUUUCAAAAACUGUUAUUGAAAGCGCAUAAUACACGAUUUGAUCUCCGAAUAUACAACCAAAAACAAAUUUUCUUUUUCAUUUGGCAGACAACAACAUCCAGUCAAUAGGUGUCCAAUUCGCAUCACUCACCGAAACUAUCAGACAUUCUCGCAGAAGGAAUUUUCACAAUUCCAAAUGAAUUAAUAGGACAAAAACAACAAUUUCAAGAAAUAAUAAUAAAUAAAGAAACCGUACAUACCAAAACAUAUAUAUUUCAAUAUUAAAUUUAUCUAUCAUUAAUCUAUGAAACUAAAGUAAAAAUUGAAUAUAAAAAAUUAUGAAUGAGUAUUUUCAUACAUUUU